UCCACCACAGUCAUUACAUACAACGACCUUCCGUUUCUCCGUCCAACAAUGGCAGCCUUCACAAACCUUAUGAUCAAUCCCCCUCAAAAUCUGUACUUCACAACCAAACUCAAUACUUUCUCUUGGGGUUACAACCCUAAACUCCAAUCGUUCUUCCCCACCAAACCCAAAAUUUCCCUACAACCAAUAUCCAUGAUAAAAGCCGCUGCUACCACAUCCAACGUAGAAAAAGACAGCGCCGGUGGUGGAGCUGCCAAAACCAAGGAAGAAGACAAAGUACAGCACAUCCACACAGUGGAGGAGUUCGAGACGGC
rnacentral:lncRNA from 1 species